rnacentral:rRNA from 1 species
UUUGAUCCUGGCUCAGGAUGAACGCUAGCUACAGGCUUAACACAUGCAAGUCGAGGGGCAGCAUGACGAUAGCUUGCUAUUGUUGAUGGCGACCGGCGCACGGGUGAGUAACGCGUAUCCAACCUGCCCUUGUCCAUCGGAUAACCCGUCGAAAGGCGGCCUAACACGAUAUGCAGUCCACAGAAGGCAUCUGACGCGGACGAAAUGUGAAGGAGAAGGAUGGGGAUGCGUCUGAUUAGCUUGUUGGCGGGGUAACGGCCCACCAAGGCGACGAUCAGUAGGGGUUCUGAGAGGAAGGUCCCCCACAUUGGAACUGAGACACGGUCCAAACUCCUACGGGAGGCAGCAGUGAGGAAUAUUGGUCAAUGGGCGAGAGCCUGAACCAGCCAAGUAGCGUGCAGGAUGACGGCCCUAUGGGUUGUAAACUGCUUUUAUGCGGGGAUAAAGUGAGUCACGUGUGGCUUAUUGCAGGUACCGCAUGAAUAAGGACCGGCUAAUUCCGUGCCAGCAGCCGCGGUAAUACGGAAGGUCCGGGCGUUAUCCGGAUUUAUUGGGUUUAAAGGGAGCGUAGGCCGUCUGAUAAGCGUGUUGUGAAAUGUCGGGGCUCAACCUGGGCAUUGCAGCGCGAACUGUGAGACUUGAGUGCGCGGGAAGUAGGCGGAAUUCGUCGUGUAGCGGUGAAAUGCUUAGAUAUGACGAAGAACUCCGAUUGCGAAGGCAGCCUGCUGUAGCGCAACUGACGCUGAAGCUCGAAAGCGUGGGUAUCGAACAGGAUUAGAUACCCUGGUAGUCCACGCGGUAAACGAUGGAUGCUCGCUGUUUGCGUCUGACGUAAGCGGCCAAGCGAAAGCGUUAAGCAUCCCACCUGGGGAGUACGCCGGCAACGGUGAAACUCAAAUGAAUUGACGGAAGGGCGA